rnacentral:rRNA from 1 species
AUUGAACGCUGGCGGCAGGCCUAACACAUGCAAGUCGAACGGUAACAGGAAGAAGCUUGCUUCUUUGCUGACGAGUGGCGGACGGGUGAGUAAUGUCUGGGAAACUGCCUGAUGGAGGGGGAUAACUACUGGAAACGGUAGCUAAUACCGCAUAACGUCGCAAGACCAAAGAGGGGGACCUUCGGGCCCCUUGCCAUCGGAUGUGCCCAGAUGGGAUUAGCUAGUAGGUGGGGGAACGGCUCACCUAGGCGACGAUCCCUAGCUGGUCUGAGAGGAUGACCAGCCACACUGGAACUGAGACACGGUCCAGACUCCUACGGGAGGCAGCAGUGGGGAAUAUUGCACAAUGGGCGCAAGCCUGAUGCAGCCAUGCCGCGUGUAUGAAGAAGGCCUUCGGGUUGUAAAGUACUUUCAGCGGGGAGGAAGGGAGUAAAGUUAAUACCUUUGCUCAUUGACGUUACCCGCAGAAGAAGCACCGGCUAACUCCGUG